UGCUCUAAGAUACGCCUCUUGAUGCCAUCCGUCGCUUUUUUGGGGUAGACAAUUUCUUCACCCUCUUCCAUGCCCUGUCGCUGACGAAGAACCCCGCUUUCUCUGAGGUUUCCUAAUCAGAGAUGGAUAUUGAUUCCCCGUCGCAGCUGGAGGAGCUCUUAAACCAGAUGGAGAUCGAUUCCGUUGAGACGAGGAACCCCACUUUUUGAUAGGUGUAGGCGAUUACAGAUGCAAAGAGGCAAGGUUUAAUCCCCUCCGCCCUUAAACCAGGAGGAGCUCUCCGGUUUAAUCCCCGGAGCCGUCCGCUUCACCUUCCCAUCACUUGCUCUGUCUCUCCAUCAAACGAUGAACCAUCCUCCAGUAGUUUUAGUGUUUUUGAGCUUAAAUUUUGUCACUUUGAAUUGAAAAAGAUAAGAUAAUGAUUGAUUGUGAGAUUGUUAAACUUAAAGGACAAAGAUUUCUUAUGUCUGUAGUCUGACAAUAGAAUUUCAAGGACUUAGCUUCUAUCUUUUGAUUGGUUCUCUAAAGGAAAUCACUUUUUUUUUGUUUGGAUGAUAGACGUGAAGAAGAAGACGUUGGUGAGGAGGAAUGACGUGAGGAAUAUAGCAAUUGUAGCUCAUGUUGAUCAUGGCAAAACUACUUUGGUUGAUUCUAUGCUUAGGCAAGCUAAGGCAAGGAGCAAAUUUAGUGUUGGAGCUAGGGCCUUGCAAAGACUGUGAGAGGUAUCAGUACAAGAGCUUCGAGCUCAACAUCGUCGUCUCGCUGCGUGUUUAGCUGGCGUCUCUCUUCUUUGUGUUUCUCAUAACUUGAGAAAGCAUGAGAUUCAAAAUUUUCUCUUCAUUGAUCUGCUCAGUGGUCGUAUGGGACGGCUCAAGGCUCAGUAUAUUCAGCAAACUCGAACUCUGUGAGAUAAGCACAUACGUUUGCGUCAUUACCUCUCUAAGAUAAGCCACAGGUUCCGAAUCUUUCUGAUUCUACAGUUUCUGGUCGUCACUGUUAGCCAGUUUACCACGCUUUUCCAGACCACUGCGUAUAGCGGACGUAUCACGUAUAUAAACGGCGGUGAUUUCGCGGUCUCUGCGGUGGUCCAAGUUGUUGUGAUUAUUUUAUGUCUGCACGCAGCAACGAAGAUAUCUCAUAGAGCUCAAGCGAUAGCAUCAGUUGCAAGUAAAUGGCAUGCGAUAAUGUUGUGCUAAUCUACGGAUACAACUCAGAUAAGGACUUCUCCUAGUGGAGUUCACUUGGAAGCCACCACAAAUCCACCCAUCUCCUUUCAGAAUUAGGUACGCCAUUGCUGAAUGACAUCAUCUUUGAUCACUUAUUUGGAAAAAUAUUUUUGUCUGCUUUGGUGUUUUUGCAUAUGUAUACAAAAUGUUUUUAUCACAUUCUUUCUUAUCAUCUGGACUUCUUGUUUUUUUUUGCUGUGUUUCUACUUGUAUUUUAAA